ensembl:lncRNA
ACAGUUAUCUCAUUAUCGUGCUGGAAGUAGGCUUGCAGUGAUACUCUAUGUUCCCGGUGUUUGGCUGUACGGCGAUUACAUCAUUUGCCCACCGUGGCUCCGCCUCCACCGCGGCUCCUCCCCCACCGUCAUUUUCCCGGUGUUGUCACAUGUCUAUUAACCGGUGCGAAAAUUUCCUCACCAUCACGUCCCUAGCUGGAAGGUGAGAUGUUUCUAAAAGAGGAGAGGAGAGUGUGUGUGAGAGAGAGAGUAUGAGAGAAUGUGGGCAAGAGUGAGUGAGAGAGAGUAUGGGGAGAGAAGAGAGUGCAAGUGAGAGAGUGCGAGAGUAUGGGGGAGAGAGUGAGA